rnacentral:lncRNA from 1 species
AAUUAAAUGGGUUAAAGUGAGUUAAGAGGAGGUGUUAAAAAAAAUGGGCUUGAAAGCCCAAAACUAUACAAGUAAUUAAAACAAGAAAAAAAAUACAUAAAAUAAAAUAAGGAGAAGGGGCGGCUGGAAUUUUGAACAGGAAAGAGAGGAUUUUAAAUUUUCAAGAUAUCCCAAGCCACUAAUCAUGUUGUGACAUGUG